rnacentral:rRNA from 1 species
GACGAACGCUGGCGGCGUGCUUAACACAUGCAAGUCGAGCGGUAAGGCCCUUUCGGGGGUACACGAGCGGCGAACGGGUGAGUAACACGUGGGUGACCUGCCCUCAGCUCUGGGAUAAGCCCGGGAAACUGGGUCUAAUACCGGAUAUGACUCCAUGACGCAUGUUGUGGGGUGGAAAGCCUUGUGCGGCUGAGGAUGGGCCCGCGGCCUAUCAGCUUGUUGGUGGGGUGAUGGCCACCAAGGCGACGACGGGUAGCCGGCCUGAGAGGGCGACCGGCCACACUGGGACUGAGAUACGGCCCAGACUCCUACGGGAGGCAGCAGGUGGGGAAUCUUGCGCAAUGGGCGAAAGCCUGACGCAGCGACGCCGCGUGAGGG